UACAUGACACCUAUUCAUAUGAACCCCACUUUAUACUGACCGAUACAUUUAGAUUAACACACACACACACACACAUACAUAUAAGUGUAAGGCUUAUGGCCAAUACACACUAUGUAUAGGAAGACAGUUCACUGUGUACCUUUGACCAAAAUACACUAUCAACACAUGAACUCUGUAGGACUACGACACAGACAUAUAUUGUUAUCAGAUAAUAAGAUUACCUGUAUAUUUCCAAUUGAUUGUGGAAAAUUGCCAAAAUGGAGCGGCCAAUGGUAUAUCCAUGAGAUGGAUGGCGUGUUGUCCAGCUUCAAUCAAUAAUACCUGCCAAUUUUUGAUCUGAUCAUCACAAGCAUGAUCAUAACAAUCGACUCGCCACUACUGAUCCUGCACUUCCGGCACCGACAACAAUGAAAUCGUAUUCCGGAAGAACUUGUUCCCGGUUGAUGGGUUC